AUCACAACCAGAAUAGAGAUUUGGGAAGGUGACUCCUUCCCCUGUAACUCUUCCUAAGUUUUAUUUUCCUAAAUCGUAAAAUUAAUAAAACAAUCUAGAGUCUAAUUCCAGUGCAAAACAACAAAAGGCAGUCAUAACGUUACAAAAAAACAACAAAAAAACAAUAAAAAAUGCGACUUAUCGCAUUUGGUUGCUAAAAUUUAUUUCCUGGCGACGACAUUUAAUUAUCGAGUGGGAAGGGGGCAUUCAGGGGUUAAAUUUAAAAGGAGGGAAUCACUGAGACAGGAUAAGGAGUAUUCCCAUUUAAGAUAAACCACAGAACUCCCCCAAUAAGUCAUCAUAAUGAGAGAAAUUCAUUGAAAUCAUUCAUUUUUUAGAGUUAUUUUGGCAUUUUUGGACUUUUGUGGGUUGGGGGGAGUUAUUUUAGAGUCUGUUUCUUAAUUGUUUGGCAGCACGAAGACUGAAAAGUAAUACAAGGACACCGGGCUGACAGCCAAACACAACCAAACACAACAAACACCACAAUCAGAGGCAGUAUAGCCAUAAAAAUAAUUGCCCAAAAUGAAUUGCGCAUCGAAAAAAUGGUCACCGGAGGGCGGGAGGGAGUUUUUAACCAAGGCUACUACACGGCGAGAAAUACAUAGUGUAAGUGGGACUGGAACAUGACAAUGAACGGGAUUAGACGAGACGGCUCAAUAAAUGCGCACCGCCCGAGGCAAGGCCGCCCAAGGCCACCUAUCUGCGCGGGGCAUACAGGGCGUAUGCGUAAUGUACUUAUCCGAGUGUCACUGUAUGGGUAUCUUGUAUCUAUUAGAUACUAUAGUAUCUAAAGUGUUGGAGAGUCAAGUCAUGGUGCGAUAAUAAUUGCAAAUGUCACAACAACAACAACAACACUGAAGAGCUCUGAUUGCUUUUCGCACGCUGGCCUGAUAUCGAAAAACUAACAGUAAUAAUUGAUCGUGAUGCGUGAGUGAGGGAGAUGGCUGAUCAGAAGAGAGGUGGGGCAGGUUGGGGGGGGGUUGGCUGGGAGCAAGGCAAGGGCGUGAGAGAGAGCGUGAGUGAGAGUGAGUCAUGUGAAUAAUUCGUGAGAUAUUUUUGCAUUCUCAUGCUGAUAGAUCAGGAAUACAGAAGAGCGAUAUGUUGUUUUUGUUUCUCCGCUAUCUUCUUCUUGACUUUCUCAAUUUCCUUACCCCACUAUUUCUCCACUUGGCCUUUGCAUACUCUGGUGAAAUACAUUGGAGACUAAUAGCGCUCUCUUAGCCCCCACUCUCUCUUACCAUCUCUCGCUCUCUCUCUCUCCGGGGAUCUUUAUCAGAGAACGGUUUCUGUGAAAAGGAAUACCCCCACAUGGCGUAUGAGCAAUGUGUGACGUCACUUAAUUAUUAUGCCUUACUAUAAUGGAAUGACUCGACAAAUCCAUUCGUAUGGAGGUGGGUGGGGGGAGUAUCUAGCCACUCGAUUCUAUUUUUUCACUUUCGAUUGGUCACGCCAGCUUGGCUCGGCGUAUGGGAAUAUGCCAGAAGUUUCCACCCAAGGUCGACCUCCCCUCACCCCCCACUACCAAAAAAAAAACGCCUGCGGAAGCAAUGAAAAGGGGGAAGUGUAAAUCGCAUGCACAUAAAUUUCUAUGGAAAACAACA
rnacentral:sRNA from 1 species